UCAGUUACGAUGCAUAUCACUGAAUAAAGGUGAUAAUAUUAGAGAAACUCUCUGUUGGGAAUCUUAGUAUUCCCUAGUUUGACAUCAAGCCAAUAAUUUAUAAGUUUUGUUGCAAUACUACAAUUAUCUGAAGAUUGGUCAUCAUUUUUGGGCGGAGCAAGGACUCGUAUCUGUCAUCUUAUUGAUUGAGUUUUCCGCAUAAUCCAUUGAUUGUAUAUCUCUCACAAAUUUAAAGCCGUAUUGCAUCAUAUUCUUGUAUUGGUUGAGUAGUGUUUUGUUGGUUGAGUAUAGUGGUGAAUUCUGGGUGCUGCAUAUCAUUUAGUGGCGGAUUCUGG